CUUUUCCCCACAAGUCAUGUGGCUUCCAGCCAGCAUACUUCAUAGAAGAGAAGUGGUGAGUCAUGCAUCCGUCCACGGUGUUUGGUCAGGGUGACUCUGGGAAGUACUAGGAUCCUCAGUGCUCUCAGCCCCGAAGGCCAAGGGAUGCCCUUGGUUGGAUUAGAUAAAGAACAUUCAAGGACACAGAGAUAUGGAAACAAUCAUUUUCUUCCCUAGAAGAGGGUGAUGCGAUAGAUUACGACGAGCAUUUGGCCCGGUGUCCCGGGGCCAGCUGAUUGAAGAGCUCAAAGGGCAAGAAACCAGUAAUGGAGAUGCCUGAAGCUCAAGAAAUGAGCAGUAAACACUCAGCACAUCAGAAUCAUGGGUGAUCUGAAAAUAACGUGACAAGAGAUGGUCCCUGCUCCGAAGGACUGCAGUUUUGCUGGAUAAAUAUGCUAUCUCUCACUCUUGGCAGUUCUUUCUGUGCUAGUAUUUGGGAAAAAAUAACUCUUGCUGCAUGAAACUAUAAAAGACAUUCUGUUAAGAGGAUGGAAAAAAAAAUGCUUCUGUUUUAGACAAAGCUUGUGAAGGUUUGAGGAUCAUCUAUCUGUUGGCCAAACUUAGUUUCCGUGGCUUAAAAAUAAAAUAAGAAAAAUAAAUACAGGUUUACUUGCCUUCUCAUCCUACUUAAAGGCACAUUUCCAAAGCUUUUCUUCUCCACCUGAAAACAGGAAUGGAGACCUAUUCAAAAGAGAUCCUAGAUAAGACCAGAGAUUCAGCAACCUGACAACGAAUCCUGUUCUUAGAAGUGGAUGCUCAUUUCCAGAAACUCUGAAUAUAGUCAUGCAUCACUUAAUGACAGGGACAUGUUCUGAGAAAUGUGUCAUUAGGAGAUUUUGUCAUUAUUCGAGCAUGAUAGAGUGUCCUUACACACACCUAGAUAGUAUAGCCUACUGCACACCUGGGCUACAUGGUAUUAAUCUUACGGAACCACUGAUACAUAUGUGGCCCAUCAUUGACUGAAAUGUCAUUGUGCAGCACCUGAGCAUACCAUGUAGCAUUGAAGAAACUACAAUUGCUGGUUUAGAUCUUG
rnacentral:lncRNA from 1 species